rnacentral:rRNA from 1 species
UACGAAGGUUGCAAGCGUUGUUCGGAAUCACUGGGCUUAAAGCGCAUGUAGGCGGCCCCUCAAGUGCCUUGUGAAAUGCCACGGCUCAACCGUGGAAUUGCUUGGCAUACUGUGCAGGCUUGAGGCAGGUAGAGGCAUGUGGAACUCUUGGUGGAGCGGUGGAAUGCGUAGAUAUCAAGAGGAACGCCGGUGGCGAAAGCGACGUGCUGGGCCUGUCCUGACGCUGAGAUGCGAAAGCCAGGGGA